rnacentral:snoRNA from 1 species
GCUGCCCUACAGAUGCUGGACUUGCUGGCACCAUGGGUGCAGCUGCCCUCAGGAUGUUGGGGCAGAGAUGAAGCAGUUAUUUCUACACUCAGUGCUCAGAAUAGUGGGCACUAAGGAUGGUUUAUAGCCAGACUUCA